UGGAGCCGAAAAAUUACUUUGCAAAUAAGAACGAGGCAUCUUUUUUGGAACCAGUUGUAGUAUCCCAACUCAAAUCUAUUUCACUCUUUCAAAAUUGAGUUAGAAAAAAUGAAGUAAACAGCUAUUUGGCUACUUUUUUUCCCCCACAGAAUUGUCUAAGAAUUGACAUGCCAAGCUUCUGGCAUUUUAAAUAAUUCUAAUUUUCAGAGGCUAUAUGGGUGAAAUCCUGUCCUGAAUGAAGUGAAUGGCAUAACUCUUUUUGUCAUCAGGAGAGCCAGGCUUACACUCCUUUUCGCAUCCAGCAUGUAAUACACAAAUGUAUUUGUACACACACACAGACACUUUUUUGCACUAUCCAUAUAAAUGUAUAUGUUUACAUUUUGGGAGAAAAAAACCCCCGUGAGCACCUACAUUUAGCAUGGCAUUUUGUGAACUUUGGAAGCUACUCCAGAAAUGAGAGCUUUAAAAAAAGAAGUCAAAUGUUUACUAAUAGUCUCAUUUCAGUAACCACUCAGAACAGUCAGUGGUCAAACCAACCAGAAACUCAGCCAGAGGAAGCAGAAACAAGCUACUUCAACGAGCAGAGAAACAUCAUGAGGAGUACGGAAAACAGACCUUACUCCGAAGUACCCCUCCCUGAACAAACUCAGAACGUGGUGGGAAAGAGUCGAUACAAGCUUAUUUGGAAAUCUGGGUCUUAGCUGCUGCUGCACCUCUUCCCGCAUCAGCAAAGAUUGCAGACUUCCCCAGCAAGUUUUCAAGGCGUCUAUUGCAAGUCUGCUUGUUCUCUAAACGCAGGGACAACAAUAGCUUAUUCAGUCUCAAGCAAGAUCUUCAGGGCAGAGCAAAAUGGUAAUCAUCUCCCUUUCAGAGGGAAAAAAAA